rnacentral:lncRNA from 1 species
UCCCCCUAUUCAUGGUUCCGAUUCAAUUAGUUAUUUUUGUUAAAACAUGAUCUUCUGAGAUCAUUUUCAUAGAGUUACAUAUCUAAAUACGGCCCAUGUAUAAGAUUGGACAGGCUAGUGCCUGUUCCCCAAACCUGUUCUGCGAAUGUAAACGAUGUUAAGGGCGUACAGGAACUGGGCUGAUCUCCACAAUAAACUUAGCCUGGCAUCGCGUGAUGCGCCAUGAGUUCGUUAACCCUAUAUAACACAAUGCUUGCCACCUCCUUCCCCCGAUAGAUACUCG